GGACGAACGCUGGCGGCGUGCUUAACACAUGCAAGUCGAACGGGCCUGCCCUUUUUUGGGUGGGUUGAGUGGCGAACGGGUGAGUAUCACGUGAGUAACCUGCCCCCUGCUCCUGGAUAACGCUCUGAAAGGGGUGCUAAUACGGGGUGUGCUGGUGCUGCCGCAUGGUGGUGCCGGGAUAGGUUCCCCUUUUUUUUGGGGUUCUGGUGGGGGAUGGGCUCGCGGCCUAUCAGCUUGUUGGUGGGGUGAUGGCCUACCAAGGCGGUGACGGGUAGCCGGCCUGAGAGGGUGGACGGCCACACUGGGACUGGGACACGGCCCAGACUCCUGCGGGAGGCAGCAGUGGGGGGUAGUGCGCAAUGGGCGGAAGCCUGACGCAGCGACGCCGCGUGAGGGACGGAGGCCUUCGGGUUGUGAACCUCUUUCGCCGGUGGAGAAGGCGCCCCCGUGUGGGGUGCUGACUGUAGCCGGGUGAAGAAGCGCCGGCUAACUACGUG
rnacentral:rRNA from 1 species